UACGUAGGGUCCGAGCGUUGUCCGGAUUUACUGGGCAUAAAGGGUGCGUAGGUGGCUUGCUAAGUCAGUGGUGAAAUCGUCCGGCCCAACCGGACACGUGCCAAUGAUACUGGUGAGCUCGAGUGCGUGAGGGGUAGGGGGAACGAGCAGUGUAGCGGUGAAAUGCGUAGAUAUUGCUCGGAAGGCCAAAGCCGAAGGGACCCUACUGGUGCGCAACUGACACUGAGGCACGAAAGCGUGGGGAGCAAACAGG
rnacentral:rRNA from 1 species